AUCGCUUCUCGGCCUUUUGGCUAAGAUCAAGUGUAGUAUUUAUAGAUAUACUUAUUUUCUUUUAUUCCCU
rnacentral:snRNA from 2 species